CAGCCGCCGCGGUAAUACGUAGGUGGCUAGCGUUGUCCGGAAUUAUUGGGCGUAAAGGGCUCGCAGGCGGUUUCUUAAGUCUGAUGUGAAAGCCCCCGGCUCAACCGGGGAGGGCCAUUGGAAACUGGGAAACUUGAGUGCAGAAGAGGAGAGUGGAAUUCCACGUGUAGCGGUGAAAUGCGUAGAGAUGUGGAGGAACACCAGUGGCGAAGGCGACUCUCUGGUCUGUAACUGACGCUGAGGAGCGAAAGCGUGGGGAGCGAACAGGAUUAGAUACCCCAGUAGUCCCUGUCUCUUAUAC
rnacentral:rRNA from 1 species